GAUGAACGCUGGCGGCGUGCCUAAUACAUGCAAGUCGAACGAAACUUCUUUAUCACCGAGUGCUUGCACUCACCGAUAAAGAGUUGAGUGGCGAACGGGUGAGUAACACGUGGGCAACCUGCCCAAAAGAGGGGGAUAACACUUGGAAACAGGUGCUAAUACUGCAUAACCAUAGUUACCGCAUGGUAACUAUGUAAAAGGUGGCUAUACUACCGCUUUUGGAUGGGCCCGCGGCGCAUUAGCUAGUUGGUAGGGUAAAGGCUUACCAAGGCAAUGAUGCGUAGCCGAAUUGAGAGGUUGAUCGGCCACAUUGGGACUGAGACACGGCCCAAACUCCUACGGGAGGCAGCAGUAGGGAAUCUUCCACAAUGGGCGAAAGCCUGAUGGAGCAACGCCGCGUGGGUGAAGAAGGUCUUCGGAUCGUAAAACCCUGUUGUUAGAGAAGAAAGUGCGUGAGAGUAACUGUUCACGUUUCGACGGUAUCUAACCAGAAAGCCACUGCUAACUACGUG
rnacentral:rRNA from 1 species